UUGCCUAAGAGGUAAGCACUAUUGAUUUCUUUUGUGGUCAUUUGUUAGUUUAGUUUUUACGAAACUGGGCUGAGCCGUGCAGGUUGGGGUAGGCUGUGCAGUGGUAGCUCCCUUAGUGAGUAACAAGGUGGAAAUUUGCUUACAGCGUUGGACAAACGACUUCUGUCAAUCUCUUACCUCUUUCCCACACUCCCCUCUGGCAAAGGGCAUCAUGUUACCCUUUUAUUUUUUCCAUACAAGCUGCCUGGUUCUUGCUAUCCGGGGCCAUGGCAUUUUGUAAAGCUCUCCUCUAUUUUGGUUGAAUUGUGCCUAUUCCCCAAACUCCAGUCAUUUGGAUGCUAGAAAAAAAUUUAACUUGUUUCUCUAGAUUCCAGCCUUUCUCUACCCUGUGUACCCCAUGUUGUGGCCGGUGAGGAAGGUGGUUACUGAUCACGUGACAUUCUUUAUCUGAGUACUCACUGGCCACCCCUUAGCAACAGAGGACUUUGGACCAGAGAGAGAGAGGAGAAGAGAAACUUUCAAAUUCUCCCAAUUCUCCCAUCCCCCUUCUUACUGUAAAAACAAUAAGGAUCACCUCCCCCAACUCUGUCACAUGGGUCUGGUCUCUCCUCAGUGCCCUACCUGUCUAGGCAUUGACAUGUCCUCUAAUCUCUUGUAAAAAUGUAAAAAGAACAAUUGGUCUCAGUGACCCCCUUGAGCCCCACACUUGAAGACUUCCAGUUCUAUUAUUCUGCAAUGAAGGGUAAAACUGGCCGAGUCUCCUAGAGCCUCAAGCUCUGUUGCAGUAUAAUAUUCUGCUUCUGGAACCUUCCCGCCUGCAGAAGCCCCCAGCCAGCCUAGCUCUGGCUCACGGAGAGAAGGGUUGAAUGUAAAGAAGUGAAUUAUGUCUACUUUGUGAGGUUGGGUGUAGACUAACCAACCAGCGCUCUUAUGUGUCCACAAAACUUGGUGAUCUUUAUUGACCAACAAAUCAAAUAUUUAUGGAUUCCCUAUUACAUAAAAUAUUAUGCUAGGCAUCUGUGGAGGUUGAAAACAAAUGGACUCUGGACUUUCUUAGUAUUAGAACAUCAGUUUCAUGAUUACCUCAUUUUCAUGACCUCACUUAAACCUUCCAAAGGACCCAACUUCCAACACCACCACACUGGGGGCUCAGGAUAUAAGCUUUAUGAAUUGGGGUGGCGGGGAGACACAAAGGCUGAUCCUGUAACAUGUAAUUUGGAAGGCCUUAAUUCUGUCACGAAAGGGCAAGGACACCAGAGCAUCUUCAGCUUUGCUGUGGGGAGAGGUAUCCCAAGCACUCUAUCGAGUUCAUUAUUUGGUCUUUCAGCUCCUCUAAGGCCAUGAUGAUGUCAACAUCUCCAUCAUGUUUGAAAGGAAAGCUAUGAAUUUAAAACUGGAGUGCUUAUUUUUUUGAGUUCAUGCUUAAAACCUCUCAGAUGCAUUUGAGAAGCACGCAGGCUGCUAUGCAAACCAUGGCUGACCUGUCAGCUAUUGUGACUAGUCUAAUAUGCAGUGUAGAGAGGUCAUGUCUCAAUUCCUUCCCAACUCACUACUUUAUUGAUGCUUUCUUACCCUCCUCAUUUUUUUUCUAUUUAGUAUUUUCCAUGUGUUAUAGUUUGAAUUUUAAACAUUUCCCAAUAGACCCUGUAGUAACAGUUUGGUUCCCUGUGUGGCGCUAUUGGGAGAUGAUAGACUUAGGGUGAGGUAGUAUAUCAUGGUUAGAAUGGUCAGCAGGGCCACACUACUUACUUCAUGGCCAGGAAGUGAGUGAGAGAGGAGACCACAUCCCACAAAAUACCUCCCACUACGCCCUACCUCUUAAACCCCCCAAAGUCCAAAGUGAGCAGAGCCUACUGAUCACAGAGCAAAGCCUUCAGAUCCAUGAGCAGGAAUAAACAUCUUCUCUGUGAUUAUCCAGGUAUUUAUUGUGCUGAUGGGAAACUGACUAAUACAUUGUGUCAUCUUCUAUUUCGUCCCCGCCUCUAUCAUUUUUUUUUUCCUUGCUCAGGAAGACACACAGCAGCAGUGGUGAGUGGUUUCUUUAUUUUUCCACCUCUGUACCAGGAAAAACAAGAUUUGGAACAUACAUCUAAGAUAAGCAGGGCCGGGCGGUAGUCAAACCUUUGUAGAUAAUGUUUCAAGGGAAACAAUGUAGGAGUUUAAACAGGGUGAGUCCUUCUGAGUCAGCUUCAGAGCAGGCUUUUAUUGGGGUGUCUCAAGACACUGCCUGGGCUGCUAAGAAAGACUUCCACAGCCUCAGCAAGAGCCGGUGGCCACGAGCUUCUGAGGCCCUUCCUCCAAGUAAAGCAGCUACCGGGAAAAUUGCAGCGAGGAUAACCCCAUUUUGCAACGUGGAGUUUCUUACAGUAGUUUGUUUUCCAGGGCAGUCUGUCAUGAGCAUGCUGUUCCUGGAGGGAAGCAACCUCAGUCAUAUCAAUAUGGCUGUCUAUGAGAACAUCCACACAACCGAAUGGAAUUACAGAGACAUGCAGAGGGAGGGAUGUCGGGAUUGUCUAGUACACCCUUCAUGAUUCCAGACCUGCGUAAGGAAGGCAAGGCCCCGUUGGCUUCUGUCUGUUGACAGUUGACUGAAAUGCUGGGUGUAUUUCAGGCUUCUUACAUCAUUCAGCAAGGGUUGUUGACUGUCCCUGCUGGAAAGUAGAAAGUCUUUAAAACACGUACUGUAUUUUAUUUUAUUUUUAGUAGGCUGCCUUUGAAAACCGCCUGGUAUUUUAUCAAGUGCUGGGAAUUUGAUAAGCUCAUGGUUCCAUGGGCAGGGUUGGCUUAGGUUUCACAUCUUUAACAGAUACAGUAGCAGAUCUGAAGAUACAAAACAAAGCCUAGAAAAUGUGAUAGCAUCGAAACCUCUUAAGUCAACAAAACUCAGGUUGUGUUUUGUUCAGGGAUCUGAACUGUGUUCCAAAACUUCCGGAAGCAGAAGGAAGCCCAGACUUGUCUAGGCAGUGCUCAGCAGCUACUGUCUUUAGCAUUAUGAUACAUAUCGUGGGAGACAGGGCAAGAGGCCUUAGUGGGCCCAGAAGGGAAGCCGUGUGAUGAUUUGGGUCAGGAAACAAAUUUCUUCCCAUCAUGGUCUUGUUGAAACAUGGCUGUUUCACAUGUUAAGUAUUACCCCAAGAGUGUGGAAGAUAAAGAGUAAUCAUGGAUAUGUUUUAUGAUACGGUAUCUAUUCACUAAAACUUCCUCGAUAGGAAGCCAGGAGACCAAAGAAGCCCUGCCAUGAGGCUAAGACUUCAGAAUCAUCUAAAUGGGAACAUUUUUCACCUGGCUUCUAUCAGUGUUGUGAGUUCAGGGUUUUUCAGGUAUUCGAGGUCCAAGGUUGAAUCUGAGAUAAGUGAAAGUCACGACGGGUCUCCCUCAGCAUCCUGUACCAUUUGUGCUGUGCAUUUAAAAGCAUCCAGGAGAGAGUUCCAAGAGAGUCAGCAGGAAGGUUGAGAAAACACAAGCGGUAGAGACAGACACAGCAGUGGAGACAGACACGGCGGUGGAGACAGACACGGCGGUGGAGACAGACACGGCGGUGGAGACAGACACGGCGGUGGAGACAGACACGGCGGUGGAGACAGACACGGCGGUGGAGACAGACACGGCGGUGGAGACAGACACGACGGUGGAGACAGACACGGCAGGGGUAGAGACACAGGAAGAAGAAGCAUCUAGACGUUCUGAAGGACUCCACAACUCAAGCUCUUGGCUGCCCCAGUCCUUGAGUCUAAUUCAACAUAAAACCAGGCCUUUCUGUGUCCUUGGGGUCAUAGUGCCCCACGUCUACCUGACACAUCGUGACAGUGCAGGAAUACACAGGUCUGAACGAGAGGGACCUUGGAUUCAGGUGACAGAGGUCUGUGAAGAGCUCACCACACCUCUGCUGCUGUAGGAUCUGUAUUUGUAUGUUGGGGUGUCCAGAGCUGGCAAUCACAUACUCUGUGCGGUCGGUGUCUUCUCUCUGUGGUAGGUCUGUGGCUUCUCUGAGAAGCAGAACUUAUUUCAAAGGUGAGUGAAUUCCAAGUCAUUAUGUUCGUAGCUUGUGCCGUGUCUGCAGGCAACACUCAGUGGUGAAAUUCUAAAAGGCAAGACAGCAGCGUCUCCAAAGAGGAAUGCUGUUCGGAAAGGUCAGCAAAGAGGUUUUCCUGCAUCGUGCGGCUGUCAGCACCAGAGAACUGGCUUUUAGAGUCUUCCUGUCACUGCUAUGCAGGUCAGACUGUCCUUUCCACUCCUCAGUGACAUCUAGUUAGUAUGGAAAUAACAAAAACUGUAGCAGGUUCUGGGCUUCCUCUCGUGCAUUGGAUUUUGGAGGGGUAAACUGCCAACGGUUGCUUGGGCUUUCUCUGUUACAGUGACUGACUUGUGGUAUAGGCUCUAGAUGAAAUCCAAAUGAAUUGAGACUAUUAUUUCAGAAAAAGAAUGUUUUGUUUCUCCUUCAUUCCCUUUUUCUCUGCUAGGAAAGAUAGCUGACACCUUGCCACAUACCCAUUUCAAUAUCCAGGCAUGGAUCUCCUCUGUGUGUUCAACUCUUGUUAAGCAUGUGACACUUAAGAUGCUCAUAUUUUCAAGACCUUUAAAAGUGUUCCUUUUACCACUAAUUUGUUUGCAGAACAAUGCAUUGUUUUGAUCACACAAUCACUGCAAAAAUUAAGAAGAGGAAGCAAAAACUGAAACUGGUUAAUAUCACUUUAACGGUAGGCAUGGAGUUGCUCUGGGCAGUAACCUAGGGCAGGCUUUAAUCCCACAGCCAUGUUGUUGGGGCCAAGAGGAUUUUAAUGUUAGGUGUGUCAACACUGUUGCAUGUAGAGGAUGAAACACACACACACACACACACACACACACACACACACACACCACCACCACCACCACCACCACCACCAACAACAACCAUUACCAUCGUCUCACUUAAGAGCAGGAACUGUGCUGUUUACCCCCUUCCUUUCUCUAUAGAGUUUAUUUAUCUCCAUAAUAAUUUAGUGACUUCUUAGUCAGGUCAGGUGCUGUGUUAAUAAGCUUUGUGUCAAUGUGACAAAAUGCCUCAGAAAAUGACCUAAAGAAAGGAAGGUUUAUUUCCGGUUGUGGUAGCAAAGGUUUGGGCUCACGGUUAUCUGGUUCCAUUGCUUGCUUUAGGCUGAGGUGAAGUAGAAUAUUAUGGCAGAGUGUGUUCAGGAAGAAGCAGGGAAGGGAAGGGGAGAGAGAAGGGAGAAAGGUUAGAAGACAAAGUGGGGUAGGGUGUCCAGGGACAAGAUACAAUCCUGAAAGGCAUGGCCCAGGUAAUUGCUUCCUCCAACCAGGAUCCACCUACUAAAACUAGCCCAUUCAGUUGGAGCUCAUCAGCAGGCUAAUCUACUGAGGCACUUAGCAGCUCUGUGAGUCAGUCAAUUCCCAGGAGAGCAAAGCAGCAUCUAAGAACCACGCUCUCACUACAUGAGCCUUUUUGGGGGAUAAUGCAUAUCUGUAGUCGGAAGUUUUUCUGUGUCCCACCUGGCCCGCGGUCGGGACAAAUCUCUCACCCACACAGAUCCAAUAUGACAGUCUUCAUAGUUUGAUGGAGAACUUGUCAUCUUAGUAGUAAUAAGUUUUUGUUUCAGCUUUUCUCAAAGUCUAUUGGAUAUUCACAGUAUUGUCCUCAGUGCAUGGCUGCUCAUGGUGACUCCAUCGGGGAAUUCAGUAGAGAGUGGGUAGGGCCCAGUGACAUGGCUCAGCAGGCAGGGGCACUUGCCAAAGCUUGGUGACUUUGUUGUGAGGUAUUCGCCAGAGAAGACAACUCCCAUGCAGGUUUAAGUCAAUAGAAAGUCUUUAUUAGCCAGCUGGCCACGACACUGGGUGUUUGUGACUCCAAUGCAGCCUAAGCCUUUCUCAAGGUGGGCUUUUAAACACAAAAACAGCAUUAUUGGUUGACCUCAGGUAGCAGGAACAGUUAUUCAGAAGCAGAACUACAGAAGCCAAGAAGCAAGGUUAGCACAUUUAGGGAAUUCUCAGAACCAUGGGCUUGGCUAGGUUUUGUUCUCGUUCUUUGGCAGGUGAUGCUGCCUCCAUGCUGGGCUUCAAGGCCUGAAUGGUACUUACCUCAUGGUAUCAGUUGUUCUAAGGUUUGGGGGCCUACUAAGAUCUGGGGACCUGUUACAACUUGAGUUUGACCCCCCAGGAUCUCCAUAGUGGAGAGGUUUUGUGUUGGUUGUUCUCUGACCUCCAUAUGCUUGCUGCUGCAUGUACAAGCCUACACAUACGUAAACACACACAUGUAAACACACACACACACACACACACACACAUACAUGUUCUUUGAGACAGGUUUCUGUGUAUGUAGCCCUGACUGUCCAGGAGCUUGCUGUGUUGACCAGGCUGGCCUUGAACUCACAGCGAUAAAUACAUCUUUUUAAUAGUCUUAGAAAGUGGGUAGGAAAACUCCUACAAAAUGGCAUCUAACCUUUUUUUGCUAUCUACCCUGAAUCUUGACUUCUCUUUAUCUCGUUUCCUGGAAGAAGGAACUUCCUGUUUUCAGGAAUGCUGACACAAGGCUAACAUUUGGCUUUUCUUCGGCAACAGACUCAGAGACUCUUAAUGCACUACCAGAGGAGAGCCAGGUAUUCAGGUUGGUACCUCCCCGUGUUGGAGGAUGCAUACAAGCCGGUGGCAUCAUCCAUUUUCUAAAUGAUUCUAGAAAUCUGGGAACAUUUAUUUUCUCCAUGUGCAGAGAGAAUGCACAUCCACUGGAGGCAGCUUUGCCCAGGGAUGCUGCUGCUGCUAUUAGUAAGUUUUCAUCUCUCUACCUCCUCCGUCUUCUUUUCCUCCUUACUGCAUCCCUCCCCUCCCAUCUUUACUGCACCUCCCCUCCCAUCCUUACUGCACCUCACCUCCCAUCCUUACUGCACCUCACCUCCCCAUCCUUACUGUACCUCACCUCCCAUCCUUACUGCAUGCCUCCCCUCCCAUCCUUACUGCAUCCCUCCCCUCCCCAUCCUUACUGCAUCCCUCCCCUCCCCAUCCUUACUGCAUCCCUCACCUCCCAUCCUUACUGCACCUCACCUCCCCAUCCUUACUGCAUCCCUCCCCUCCCCAUCCUUACUGCACCUCACCUCCCCAUCCUUACUGCAUCCCUCACCUCCCCAUCCUGACUGCACCUCACCUCCCCAUCCUUACUGCAUCCCUCCCCUCCCCAUCCUUACUGCACCUCACCUCCCCAUCCUUACUGCAUCCCUCACCUCCCCAUCCUGACUGCACCUCACCUCCCCAUCCUUACUACACCUCACCUUCCAUCCUUACUGCACCUCACCUCUCAUCCUUACUGCACCUCCCCUCCCCAUCCUUACUGCAUCCCUCCCCUCCCCAUCCUUACUGCAUCUGUCUCAUACAAACUUACUCUAACUGGUUGUCGGUCUCUCCCAUGGUCUCUGUAUCUCUCUCCACGGCCUCUGAGUCCAUGCACACAGGCGGAAUCUGCUGAAUGUUCUGGUGCUAUCUGAUGAAUUCUUCCUGGCAUUCCAGUACCUCGGCAAUUGGGACAUACUCUAUUGCUACCUUUUCAUCACCCCAGCCUUCAUUUUUGUCAGCAGAGCCAUUUUUCUAUUGCCCCUUAUGCAGAUUUUCUAAGUGUAUGCAUAUCUUUACCUCCCCUUUCUUUCGGCAUCCUUUUUCUCUCCCAAAAGCACCAAAGAUAUAUUGGGCCAAAACCACAGCGAUCCACCCUCUUUGAUCGCCUGCUCUUCUCCUUUGUUAUGCAAUUCUAUUUUCCUGGAAUCUGAGAGAGCUUUGGAAGCCUGAGAAACUUAUUUCAACUUUCUCUUCCUUUCAGAUUGCCAGCACAUUGGUGCUUCAAGACCAGUUUCCAUAAGCCCCUUUCAGGGUUCCCGGAGGGCGCUGAGGUCGACCCCCCAACAGCCACCGUGACUUCUUUCCCCAUUUCCCACAGCUGGGUCCCGUAGUCACCAGUUUCUGAGCAUGCUGGGGCCAGUGGGCAGCUUUCAGGGCAGUGACCCUGCCACUGAAGAAUGACCUGCUGGUCCAACUUGUACAUGCAUAAAAAUAGUGAAAAGAAGUGUGCCUUGAAACACUUGGUCCCUAGCUAAUGGCUCUAUGAUCAAUCAGGAGGACUCUGACUUCGUUAGAGGGUUAAUCCAUCGGUCUGCCGUGAGGGGAACAAUCUCCUCUUUCUACCUCAUCCCAGGCUGAAGACGGCGGAACCAGCAGGCCUCAGAUCAAAACUUCUGAAACCAGGACCCUAAGAGGGGAGCCAUUACUUGCUGUUGUCUGGGACCUCACUCCUGAUGUGUCAGUGAAGAAGGAAGAGGAGAUCGUAUGGAAGAACCUCAUCUGGGGACACCAGAAGCUCUUUCCCUACAUGGAACUCUGAUUUCUGCCUAAGAGUAGGAAAUGGUUAAACUCUGCUUCCUAUCGCUUCCCUAGAUGCGCCUCUGGUGAUGCUGCACAGGAUGCCUCCUCCUGAGCAUGAUGGUUAACCUCGACUAUCAACGUGAUGGGAUUUAGAAGUGGAACAAAACCUGUGCAACUCCUAUAAUUCUGAAUACUUUUGUAGCCAGAGAAGGUCCCGUGGGUUAGGAGGCCUGCUUGUGAAAUAUAAUACAAAUGAUGACUGUGGAAAAAGGCUUUUGAGAGAAGGAAGAGGCAACAUGUACUAGCGCUUGAAAUGGGUAUCGGGGCAGCAGUAAGUGUGGCUGGAAUGAUGGAAAUGUCCAUGUACUGCAGUUACCCAUACUGCAUUCUUCUUCUCUGAAUACACCGCAGUUCCUCUCGCUCCCUUUCAAGAGGUUUUCAUGUUUGAGAUGAAUGGUUCCUCUACAGCAAAUGAAGCUACCAGGCCAAUGUUCUUCCAGUGUCUUAUUACGUGGUCCUUUGUUGGCUUCCUGACUUCUGGGUGCUGAGGAGACUUCUGGAAGAAGAAAUGGCACAGCAGAUUUAUUGACUGGUCACUUUCCUCCUGGGAGUUUGGUGACUGGUUAGGACACAGCAGAGAACCACACAAAGCCGACUUGCCAUGCCGCUGCUCAGGGCGGGCACACUGGGGGAGAAACUUGUGGACUCAGAAUUUCCUGGCUCUCAUUCCUCUUUGUUUAGUCCCACACCAGCUUUAUGGAGUGUCUGGCUCCAGUGUACCACACAAUGUCAUAUGUGAAAUCUUAAGAUAAACCAGAUAUAUUCUCUUCUAAGUCCUUCAGGAUCACAGGGUCCCGCUACACCAUGACUCCUUUCCAGUUGCACCACAAGCCAGUAGGGCAGUAUUGAGUAUGGCGAGGCUGCAGGGCUGAGGUGUGCACAUUUCAGUUUGGUUAAACUUCUACUUUGGCUUUUGGAUGGCAUUGGGAACAAAAUGGGCUUGAGUUUCUUCUCUACCAUUCUAGGAGUCUAUGGCCCUUAAUGUUCCCAGUAGCCGUAAGAGAACCUGGGGUUUACACAGGGAUAUCAGACUGGGAUUUUUUUUUUUUUUUGGUUUUUCGAGAUAGGAUUUCUCCAUGUAGUUUUGGUGCCUUUCCUGGAUCUCGCUCUGUAGACCAUGCUGGCCUCAAACUCACAGAGAUCUGCCUAACUCUGCCUCCCGAGUGCUGGGAUUACAGGUGUGCACCACCACUGCUCAGCCAGACUGGGAUCUUGAAAGUGAUAGAAUGAUAAUUUUAAGACACUGUUGCACCAUAGUGUUUCAUGUCAGUCCUGACUUUGAAACCCACAGACUCAUUAGCAGGAUGUUACACUGGGCAAAGUGGGCAUGGCUUCACGGAAACAUGGUAUAGUCAUCUGAAAGAAUAUGGCCCCCAUAGGAAGUGGCACUAUUAGGAGGUGAGGCCUUGUUGGAAGAAGUGUGUCAAUGUGGGGGGCAGGCUUUGAGGUCUCCUAUGCAAGCUAUGCCCAGUGAGGACACAGUUGUUUCUGCUGCCUGCAGAUCAAGAUGUAGAACUCUCAGCUCCUCCAGCACCAUGUCUGCCUGUGUGUUGCCAUGUCCUGCCAUGAUGAUCAUGGACUAAACCUCUGAAACUGUAAGCCAGCCCCAAUGAAAUAUUUUCCUUUAUAAGAGUUGCCUUGUUCGUGGUGUCUCUUCACAGCAACAGAAACCCUAACUGAGAUACCUGUGAUGUGUGUGACUGAAGGUUUUUCUCUCGGGUUAAUCUGAUCAGAAAAAUCAGAGGAAGACAAGAAAACAAGGGGUCUUUGGCAUUUUAAUGAGUGGAGUUUGGAAAUAGUAAUUAGAACCAUGUAUUUGGGAAGCAAGAUUGAUUAGUGGAGUGAAGGACACCAUUUACAUUACCUAGCUCAUGGUUAGUCUCAUCCCGUCAGAACCCUGUGUUCACACAUGGAACUGUCUGCAGCACUUCCAAUAGGUGGAAUGGAGACCAUAGAACCAUGCACCAUCAGAAAGAACGCUGUCUAGCUUCCUCUGGUCUUAGAAUCCUCCAUCCUCACUUGUGGCCUCUAGGGUUCCAGCUCUGGGUAGAGCUGAGUGUCAUCCUGUCUCCAGCUUUACAUACGGGCUGAUUUCAUGUUUCUAGUCUGGCUCAGUCUCCUGUCAUUUUGAAACUGUUUUCCAUUUAGGCUAUGUAAAUCACAGUCUUGUGCUGCAUGAUAACAUUUCAGUCAGUGACAGAAUGUAUGGUGGUCCCAUAAGUUUAUAACGAGGCCAAGAAAUUCCUGUCACCUAGUGAUGUCAGCCAUCAUAACACAUUCCACAUGUGUUUGUGAUGAUGCUGCUGGCCACCACCAAUGUGUGGUAAGGCACAUAAAAGUAAAACUUGUGUAACUAUGGGACAGCACACAAUACAUGGAAAUGGUAAUAAAUGUUACUGGUUUAUAUAAUUAUUGCACCACACUAUACAUAUUAACCUUUGUUUUAGAGUGUCCUGCUUUGCAUAUAAAAAGUUGACUGUAAAGCGGUGUAAUUGCUAUUUGAAUGGCAGCCUCAGUGUUUUGUGCUUGCUCCAUUCCU